rnacentral:rRNA from 1 species
CCUACGGGCGGCAGCAGUAAGGAAUAUUGGUCAAUGGACGCAAGUCUGAACCAGCCAUGCCGCGUGGAGGAUGAAGGUCCUCUGGAUUGUAAACUUCUUUUAUUUGGGAAGAAACUCCCGAUUUCCAUCGGGAUUGACGGUACCAGAUGAAUAAGCACCGGCUAACUCCGUUCCAGCAGCCGCGGUAAUACGGCGGGUGCAAGCGUUAUCCGGUUUCAAGGGGUUUAAAGUGGGCAGAGAUGUCCAGGUAGAAAUCUCCGGGCUUAACCCGGAAACUGCCAUUGAUACUAUUUGUCUUGAAUACUCUGGAGGUGAGCGGAAUAUGUCAUGUAGCGGUGAAAUGCUUAGAUAUGACAUAGAACACCCAUUGCGAAGGCAGCUCACUACGGAAAUAUUGACGCUGAGGCACGAAAGCGUGGGGAUCAAACAGGAUUAGAUACCCCGGUAGUC